rnacentral:lncRNA from 1 species
GCUUUCGACAAAAAGUCUUUGGGGGGUGGGGGUAGCUUUAAGUAAAAAAUUGAAACAUUGUGAAACAACUUUUACGUAUUAUAGACGCAUGUGUGUAUGUUUUGUUAAUGCUGCUUUGAUAUAUUGUGCUUGUAGAUACACGUAUUUAUAUUAUUUAUGCUACUCAUUUUUAACCACUUUAUUAUAUUAUGUCGACUAUAACUAUUGGUAGCGUAAACUGCAGGGGUUUAUCAGAAACAGUUAAAAGAAUUGAUAUAUUUACAAAAUAUAAGGACUUAUAUGAUAUAACUAUAUUAGUAGACACCCAUAGCACAUCUGAAAAAGAAAAACAAUGGCUUCAUGAAUGGGGAUAUGUGGGGAAAUUUAGUUCUAAUUCUAGUAAAAGUAGAGGGGUAGCUAUUCUUUUCAAAAAUACUUUCGAAUUCAAGAUUCAUGAUGAAACUAUAGACCUGAUGGGUAAUUUUAUUAUAGUAGAUAUCACCAUUCAGGACUACCGUAUAACUUUGGCAGCUAUAUAUGGACCGAAUAAUGAUGACCCAGUCUUUUUUGAGAACAUAAAACACAAAAUAUCCCGCUACAGCAAUUCGUCAAUUGUAGUAGCGGGAGAUUGGAAUGUUGUUCAAGACUAUGACAUGGACACAUUACAUUAUAGAAGUGAAAACAACCCCCAGUCAAAAGCCAAGAUUCAUGAGGUAAUGCAUGAACUAGAUCUAUUAGAUAUAUGGCGCCAGCAGCACCC